GUUGAGGCUAGAGUCACACUUGGGUAUUGGUAUUGCCUUAGUGUGCUAGAGUCCUCAAAGAGUAAUUGCUGACCUUAUUCACUGGCUGUAGUCAUUGUGGUACAGUCAGUCACCAGGUUAGCGACAUGC
ensembl:snoRNA SNORA3A small nucleolar RNA SNORA3/SNORA45 family